rnacentral:rRNA from 1 species
UACGUAGGUGGCAAGCGUUGUCCGGAAUUACUGGGUGUAAAGGGAGCGUAGGCGGGAAUGCAAGUUGAAUGUUUAAACUAUGGGCUCAACCCAUAGUCGCGUUCAAAACUGCAUUUCUUGAGUGGAGUAGAGGCAGGCGGAAUUCCUAGUGUAGCGGUGAAAUGCGUAGAUAUUAGGAGGAACACCAGUGGCGAAGGCGGCCUGCUGGGCUCUAACUGACGCUGAGGCUCGAAAGCGUGGGUAGCAAACAGG